rnacentral:rRNA from 1 species
CCUACGGGAGGCAGCAGUGAGGAAUAUUGGUCAAUGGCCGGAAGGCUGAACCAGCCAUGCCGCGUGAAGGUCAGUGCCCUAUGGGCGUUAAACUUCUUUUGUGCGGGAGCAAUAAUGGUCACGUGUGGCCAGACGAGAGUACCGUACGAAUAAGCACCGGCUAACUCCGCGCCCGCAGCGGCGGUAAUACGGGGGAUGUAAGCGUUAUCCCGAGUUUUUGGGGUUAAAGGGUGCGUAGGCUUGGAGGUCAGUCAGCGGGGAAAUGCCCCCGCUCAACGGGGUGAAGUGCCAUUGAUACUGCCGUGCUGGAAUGCGGAUGCCGUGGGAGGAAUGUGUGGUGUAGCGGUGAAAUGCAUAGAUAUCACACAGAACACCGAUUGCGAAGGCAGCUCACGAAUCCGCGAUUGACGCUGAUGCACGAAAGCGUGGGUAUCAAACAGGAUUAGAUACCCGGGUAGUC